UUUCCGUAGGUGAACCUGCGGAAGGAUCAUUCAUAAUAAGUGGUUUAUGGCACUUUUUUAAAUCCAUAUUCACCUUGUGUGCAAUGUCAGGGUCGCUUUUUCUCUCGAGAGAAGCAGCACCAAUCAUCAACUAUAUCCCUAUUCUUUUUCUUAAAAAUAUAAUGAACAUAACAAUUCAAAAUACAACUAUCAACAACGGACUUCUUGGUUCUCUCAUCGAUGAAGAACGCAGCAGAUCGGAAGACACCACGUCUGACCACCAGCCACGCAUAGUCAUCU
rnacentral:misc_RNA from 1 species